rnacentral:tRNA from 1 species
GCGGUAGUGGUGAAGUGGUUAACACACUGGUUUGUGGGUCCAGCACGCGUGAGUUCGAUUCUCACCUACCGCC